GGAAUAUUGCACAAUGGGGGAAACCCUGAUGCAGCGACGCCGCGUGAGUGAAGAAGUAUUUCGGUAUGUAAAGCUCUAUCAGCAGGGAAGAAAAUGACGGUACCUGACUAAGAAGCCCCGGCUAACUACGUGCCAGCAGCCGCGGUAAUACGUAGGGGGCAAGCGUUAUCCGGAUUUACUGGGUGUAAAGGGUGCGUAGACGGUUUUGCAAGUCUGAAGUGAAAGGCAUGGGCUCAACUCAUGGACUGCUUUGGAAACUGUGAGACUUGAGUGCAGGAGGGGUAAGCGGAAUUCCUGGUGUAGCGGUGAAAUGCUUAGAUAUCAGGAGGAACACCGGCGGCGAAGGCGGCUUACUGGACUGUAACUGACGUUGAGGCACGAAAGCGUGGGGAGCAAACA
rnacentral:rRNA from 1 species